rnacentral:rRNA from 1 species
GAUGAACGCUGGCGGCGUGCCUAAUACAUGCAAGUCGAGCGAACGGACGAGAAGCUUGCUUUUCUGAUGUUAGCGGCGGACGGGUGAGUAACACGUGGAUAACCUACCUAUAAGACUGGGAUAACUUCGGGAAACCGGAGCUAAUACCGGAUAAUAUUUUGAACCGCAUGGUUCAAAAGUGAAAGACGGUCUUGCUGUCACUUAUAGCUGGAUCCGGGCUGCAUUAGAUAGUUGGUAAGGUAACGGCUUACCACGGCAACGAGGCAUAGCCGAACGGUGAGGCGGAUCGCCCACAUGAGAGGUGGAACACGGACCAUGCUCCUACGAGAGGCAGCAGUAGGGAAUCUGACGCAAUGGGCGAAAGCAUGACGGAGCGACGGCGCGCGAGUGAUGAAGGUCCCGCGAGCGGAAUACUCUGUUACGAGUUAAGAACAGAUGUGUCAGUAACCGUACACAUCUUGACGGUACCUAAUCAGAAAGCCCCGGCUAACUACGUG